AAGCUUAGGUUAAACUAAACCGGAGGCCUUCAAAGCCCCAAACAAGAGCACGCACCCUCCUAGCUUCU
rnacentral:tRNA from 2 species